CCUGAACCUGAAACUACACGAAAGGCUCAACUCUAACCCAAAGUCUCGAUGCACUUUGGUGUCUGAUUGCAUCAAUAAGAUUACACCGGGAUCAGGAAACGUCUUUCUUGAAGCAAUUGUUUACCUUAAAGAUGAAGUAAGAGCAGAUUUCCGAAAGACUGGCAAGUGCAACUUGCAAGUAGCAAACAGCAUUUUUAUAUCAGGCCCUUCAAUGUUGGCCUUACCCAAAAACAGUCCCUACACCAAAAGUAUCGACCGCGGAUUAUUGGAGUUGCAACAAACUGGACUGCUCGACUACUGGGACCUGUGGUUCCGCCCCAUGCCCCCUCAAUGUACGGGAAAUGUCCAAAGUGGGAAAUCGAUACCGAAAAACAAACUUGCUCCACUUUCCUUAAAAAAUUUGACCGGCGCUUUUCUCGUCAUUGCCGUUGGAUUCGGCCUUUCCUUUUUGGCAUUUCUCUGCGAAAAAAUCAUUUCCAUGCCUGAGCGCCACCGCACCCAAACGAAAAACAAUAG